rnacentral:lncRNA from 1 species
GACCUGCCGGCCAGCCCUUAACCUGCCAGCCAGGAGAAAUAUGCGUCCUGGAUCGCCACCAGGUCGCACAGAAACCCCAACCCCCAGCCAGCAAAAGUCUGUCUCAGGUGCCGCACUCUAUACUGAGUGUGUGCUUUUAAAAUUCUGCCCGAUAAUCUCCUUAUGCCUCUCAUGGGCACAUUUUAAGAAUUAUUUUUCUGUGACGUAAGUCAACAAACCUACAACCUACUCUGUUGGGGUGAUUUGAGGUGCCCCUUCCUAUGUGGGGAUCUCCUCAAGCCCCAUCUGGUGACCCUAUCUUCUGGUGAGGACCGUCUUUAUCAUUCCCAGGAGAAACCCUGGUCUCUGCGCCCUGUCCAUGCCUCUGUGGGCUGCGCCCCGCCCGGCGCCCCAAGGCACACCAGUUGCGGGUCGCAGUGCCAUCCCAGCUGCCAGCCUGGGCUCGGGCUGCCUCCGCACCAGACUCCAUGCUGCCUGCCCGGGGAUCGAACUCAGGUCCUUCUGCUUGUGAGGCAGGCAGCGGAACCUUUAAGCUAA